rnacentral:hammerhead_ribozyme from 1 species
AUUCAGCUGAUGAGUCUCAAAUGGGAUGAAACACGAGUCGAACUGGAU